rnacentral:rRNA from 1 species
AUGAACCACCUCCUCCUUGCCUGUCCCUUCACCCGGCAGACCUGGCAUGAGGUGUUCAGUUGGCUCCGGGUCCCAUGCCCCCCGCCUGCUCAAGUGCCAUUCCUCAAUGAUUGGUGGCAAUCCGCAAGACAGCUCGCGCCCAAGCCCAUGCGCAAAGGCCUCGCUUCUGCGGUCCUGCUAGUCCCCUGGAUGCUUUGGAAGCACCGCAACGACUGCGUCUUCAAUCAUGGCCGCCCCCUCAUUGAUGACUUGCUCACAAAGAUCAAGGAGGAGGCCGCCCUUUGGGCUGCCGCUGGCGCGUUAGGGCUUAGAGCCAUCAUCCCGCAAACCUGGGACGUCCAUUGA